rnacentral:rRNA from 1 species
CGGAGGGAUCAUUACUGAGUUUACGCUCUACAACCCUUUGUGAACAUACCUAUAACUGUUGCUUCGGCGGGUAGGGUCUCCGCGACCCUCCCGGCCUCCCGCCUCCGGGCGGGUCGGCGCCCGCCGGAGGAUAACCAAACUCUGAUUUAACGACGUUUCUUCUGAGUGGUACAAGCAAAUAAUCAAAACUUUUAACAACGGAUCUCUUGGUUCUGGCAUCGAUGAAGAACGCAGCGAAAUGCGAUAAGUAAUGUGAAUUGCAGAAUUCAGUGAAUCAUCGAAUCUUUGAACGCACAUUGCGCCCGCCAGCAUUCUGGCGGGCAUGCCUGUUCGAGCGUCAUUUCAACCCUCAAGCUCUGCUUGGUGUUGGGGCCCUACAGCUGAUGUAGGCCCUCAAAGGUAGUGGCGGACCCUCUCGGAGCCUCCUUUGCGUAGUAACUUUACGUCUCGCACUGGGAUCCGGAGGGACUCUUGCCGUAAAACCCCCAAUUUUCCAAAGGUUGACCUCGGAUCAGGUAGGAAUACCCGCUGAACUUAAGCAUAUCA